CUGUUGUUGUUGUUGUUCGUAGUUGAUUACAAUGGAUUGGAAAUUAAGAAAUGGAUUUGAAUUAUUAUUGGAUUGUGAGGCUUCGAUUGAUGUUGUUGUUGGGAAACUUUUGCAAUGUCUGUAGAGACUGUAGUAGAUUCUGUAUGGCUUGAAACCUAAAAACUAAAUUUUACAAUUCUCGGCAAAAGUAACAAAUCUAAAACUUAACUGAGCUCGCCUUCUUCGUUCAAAAGAGAUUUCCACUCAAGUCAAAUUGAUUUUAAAGGCAAUGCAUGUUGUGUGGAGAGCUGAGUGGAAUACAUUUAACUCAAGAGUGUUUUUUUGGCUCUAAAUCAUUGCCAAUUUCAUUGGGGAACUUGCAGCAAAUGUUAAAGUCAACUUGAAGGCGCGAAAAGAAAGUGAAGUGAAAAUCAAAAGGCAGAGCCAAGUAAAAUGCCAAGUCCGUCUGCAGACUGUUGGCCUUUGGCCAAGUGGCACGGCUUAGACUUGGGCCAGAAACCCUAAAACUUUGCAGUUGCACUUUGCUGCAUGGCAAAUAUUUUCAUAUCGCAUGCCAGUCGCAUUUCCAUGGAAUGGCGUUGCUUUGCUUUUCGUAAACAAAUUGCUUUUCCGGCAUCAUUUGUCACAGUAGCAGCAGCAACAAAAUUUAGUUAACUUGUGAAUUCUCAGACUGGCAAGACAAUAGACAAAAACUAAAAAGACCAAAUAACUAUAUAUAACAAAAUAAAAAAAAUAGAUAAAAACAUUUCAGUAA